rnacentral:rRNA from 1 species
ACGAACGCUGGCGGCGUGCUUCACACAUGCAAGUCGCACGGAAAGGCCCUGCUUUUGUGGGGUGCUCGAGUGGCGAACGGGUGAGUAACACGUGAGUAACCUGCCCUUGACUUUGGGAUAACUUCAGGAAACUGGGGCUAAUACCGGAUAGGAGCUCCUGCUGCAUGGUGGGGGUUGGAAAGUUUCGGCGGUUGGGGAUGGACUCGCGGCUUAUCAGCUUGUUGGUGGGGUAGUGGCUUACCAAGGCUUUGACGGGUAGCCGGCCUGAGGGGGUGACCGGCCACAUUGGGACUGAGAUACGGCCCAGACUCCUACGGGAGGCAGCAGUGGGGAAUAUUGCACAAUGGGCGGAAGCCUGAUGCAGCAACGCCGCGUGCGGGAUGACGGCCUUCGGGUUGUAAACCGCUUUCGCCUGUGACGAAGCGUGAGUGACGGUAAUGGAUAAAGAAGCACCGGCUAACUACGUG